AUUGAAAGGUGGCUCCGCCACUGCUUACGGUAUGUACCAAAAGCUGGUAGGAUUAAUAUUAUCUGUUUGGCUGACUGAUUCAAGGAGUUAAGACUAUCAGUUGCUUGCAAAAUCUGGUUCACCAUUGUGUCUGGAGAUGAGUUGCCGGUCUAAUGGUGAGAGUGAGAAAGUUUCAUCGCCUCGUGACAGGAGUAUUUUGGUGUAUCCACAAGCUUUAGCGAGUUACAGAGUAGUGUGGUGUACCCACAAGCUUCAGCGAGUUACAGAGUAGUGUGGUGUACCCACAAGCUGUACUUACAACUGGAUGGAUGCAUGUCAAUGAACAGGGUAAAAUGCGUGAUCCUUACAUUAAUGGUUUCGUCCUCUGAUGCGAAUGGACCAACGAAUAUGUACACGGGAGUUACCAAAGAUUCAGGAGGAAAUUGAGCCGACUUGCCAACAAUUCCCCCCUAUAGUAACUCAGGGGCUGAACAUGGAACUCAUUCCUUGAACCAGCAGAUGGCGACUGCUGGCUUUGCCGGAACGCUUGCUCCGUCUACGUCUUCGGGAUGAAUCACUGCUCUGCCAAGGGCUAGCGCUGAAUGAUGAGUUGCAUCUUCUAUUGGCCAAGCACGAAUCUAUUGCUUCCGGAACUUCUGUUCAAGUGGAAAAACCAAAAUCUGAACCACAUCAACCUCUUGUAAAUGUUAAUGCUCUACUUAUUGAGACCGGAGGCCGCAAAUAGUCAGACCAAGGAUCUACAUCAAAUACUAGCCUAGGGACACAGUUGCUUCUUCCUGCUCCUCCUUCAGCUAGCAUUCCAUCAACAACAACAAAAGUUGACCCGAAAAUUGAUCUUCUGAGUGGAGAUGACUUCAGCUCACCUACAACUGAGAAUGUCCUGACCCUUGUUCCUGUUGGUGGAGAACCUGAGCCUGCAAGUCCUGUUUCACAGCAGAAUGCCCUUGCUCUUGUUGACAUCUUUUCAUCACCCAGCAACUCACAAUUUCCAUAUUCAGCUGGGCAGACACAUGCUUCGUCCCCUCAAUUUCGACAACAGAGUUUCACUUCUACAUAGUCAGCUUUGUACCCAAAUGGAAGUGUCCCCGGAACUACAUACACACAAGCCUCUAACACAGCCUGGAACGAACAGAUAUCACAGCAACAGCUGCAGUCACCUUCUCCAGUUUAUGGUGGUCAAAGCAGUUCUUUUCCACCACCUCCAUGGGAAGCUGAGGCAGCAGAGAGCAGCCAAACAGUGGGGAAUCCUCAUCCAAAUAUCUGCCCCAAAGCAAAGUAGAGAGAAAAAAUGUCUUAUUAACCAUGAUGAUCAAGACCAAAGCUGCUAAUAAUAAUAAUAAUGACAAUCUGAUGAGAAGAUGCAGAGGAUUGUUCUUGACAAGCAGGAGAUUAUGCAAUCUUUACAAUGCCUUCAACUUUAGUGAUUGAACAACAAAUUAGAGCCAGUCUAAUGGUGAGAGUGGGAAAGUUUCAUCGCCUCGUGAUAGGAGUAUUUUGGUCUUUCCAUAAGCUUCAGCGAGUGACAGAGUAGUAUGGUGUACCCACAAGCUGUACUUGCAACUGGAUGGAUGUAUGUCAAUGAACAGGGUCAAAUGUGUGGCCCUUAACGGUUUCGUCCUCUGAUGCGAAUGGACCAAUGAAUAUGUACACCGGAGUUACCAAAGAUUCAGGAGGAAAUUGAGUCGAGUUGCCUACAACUUCCCCCUACAGUAACUCAGGGGCUGAGCAUGGAGCCCAUUCCUUGAACCAGCAGAUGGCGACUGCUGGCUUUGCAAGAACACUUGCUCCGUCUACGUCUUGCGUACUUCCUCUUCUAUAUUUAAGGAUUUUGUAAUGUUCUUGGUGAUAUUCUUUUAGUUACUUGUUUCUUCAA